rnacentral:rRNA from 1 species
UACGAAGGGGGCUAGCGUUGCUCGGAAUGACUGGGCGUAAAGGGCGGGUAGGCGGUUUGUACAGUCGGGUGUGAAAUUCCUGGGCUCAACCUGGGGGCUGCACCCGAGACGUAUAGACUUGAGUGUGAAAGAGGGUCGUGGAAUUCCCAGUGUAGAGGUGAAAUUCGUAGAUGUUGGGAAGAACACCGGUGGCGAAGGCGGCGACCUGGUUCACUACUGACGCUGAGGCGCGAAAGCGUGGGGAGCAAACAGG